ensembl:lincRNA Gm45097 predicted gene 45097
CGAAGCCAGAGUUUCGCCUAAAUAAUCCGUGGGGAUAAGGAAGCACCGUCCUUAAGGGGGAUCCAUGGUCCCAGUCCAUCAUCAGGGGACACCAAGGCAAGAACUCACGGCAGGAACCUGGAGGCAGAGACUGAAGUCGAAGCCAUGGAGGAACACUGCUUACUGACUUGCUGUCCAUGGCUCAUCUAUGUUAUAUAGGCAUGGCUCACCUGCCUGGGAAUGGCACCACUCACAGUGGGCUGGACCCUCCUAUGCUAAUUAGCAAUCAAGAAAAUCGCUCCGAUGUGCCUACAGUCCAUUCUAAGGGAACCAUUUCCUCAAAUGAAGUCCCCUCUUCCCAGGUCUGUCAAACUGAUGGCUGAAGCCAAUGACAGAAAUGAUUGCUGUAGUUUUUAUUUUACACACCUCAGCUGCAUCUAUUGAGGUAACCACAUGAUUUCCCCUGUAUUAUGUUAUUCUGGGGACUGAUCAUUUGUUUAAAAUACCAAUGAAUGGUGGCACAUGCCUUGAAUCUCAAUACUUGAGAAGCUGUAGGCAGGAAGACGGCUGAAAGUUCAAGGCCAGCCUAGUCAUCAUAUGACCCUGUCUCAAAAUAAAACAAACAAAAAAAGACUAUGAAACCGAGGUAACCCUUUUAGGGGAUAAAGGUCAUUCCGUCUUCCUAUACCAGUCUGGAAGUGUUUCCCCUGUUAGCAGUUCCUGGAAAAACAAAUAUUUACUGUCCUUGACUGUUAAGUGGUAACUAUCACUGGGACUGGGUGUAUCGUUUCUAGGAAGAGAUGCAAUCAUACACUGA